GACAGAGGAUGCAAGCGUUAUCCGGAAUCACUGGGCGUAAAGCGUCUGUAGGUGGUUUAAAAAGUCCACUGUUAAAAAUUGAAGCUUAACUCAAGAUGCCGUGGAAACUUUUAAACUUGAGUAUGAUAGGGGUUAGAGGGAAUUUCCAGUGGAGCGGUGAAAUGCGUAGAUAUUGGAAAAGACCACCAAUGGCGAAGGCACUCUACUGGGCCACUUACUGACACUGAGAGACGAAAGCUAGGGGAGCGAAUGGG
rnacentral:rRNA from 1 species